ensembl:lncRNA
CUCCAAGCAGCCACCUCCACUGGGACUGGCCUGACCUGGCCACUUCUUUCAGUUCCCUGGAACCCCAAAGGGAUCAGCUUCCUCUGGACUCCCCCCUACCUUUGCCUUUCCCUUGAUCAUGAAGGAUUCCCUUGGGCCCACUAGAGCCCACAGCCUCUUUCUCGGAAUUACAGCUGGGGUACACUCACUGACAACCACAAGCAAGAGACAAGAGCCUUCAAAGUCCAGAAGCAAGAUAAAAGUCAGACUGUUUGAUGGUGGUCCAGGAGGCAGUGGAUGAGCUUGACACCUUCCAUGUCUGACCAAACUCAAGGCAUUCCAGGGUGUAUUAGCGCAUCUACUGAGAUGGUUCAGUGUGGCCUCUGAACAUGCUACAGCUUCUUGGAGCCAGAGGUGAGAGCUGGGGGACAAGUGGACAUCAGAGGUGGAUGAACAGGACUGAAAAGGGCUCAGCAGCCCUCACACCAGAGGUGCUAGUCCUCCCUGAACAUCCUACCCAUCCUUAAUAAAUAUUCUUUAAUCAACUGAUUGACCAGAAAGGCCUCCUUGGGGAAUACUGAAAACAAAGAACCUUCUCCAAUCAGCCCUGGGAAUGGCAUCUAAAGAAGGAGAAUUAGAUUCCUUCGGUUUCAUGAUUGAUGAACAAAUAGAUUAUAUAAUAGAAAUAGCACUGGACAGGGAAGAAAGAAGCAGGGUCUAGAGCUCAAUCUGCUAACUCACCUGAUCCCAGCCAAGCCAAUGGUCCCCUCCUGGGCCUUAUUUCACCUCCACGACAUGACAGAUCAGGCAGUCUCUUCUGAUCAUAAUUUUUUUAUGUUUUUAUCCCAGAUAUGUAAGCUUAAGGAUUCACUCUCAACAAGUAGCUAGUCUUGCUUAGGACGAGAGAUAACUCCUUUCAUUCCCAACUUCCAGAACCAGUCUCCUCCCCCCACCUCCUACUCCCUAAACCCUCUACUUUGUUUUAUUUUCUAUUCUUUUUAAAAUAUAUUUUUUUUUGGAGGGGGGGAGAGGGCAAGGCGAUUGAGGUUAAGUGAGUUGACCAAAGCCACAGUUGAUAAAGUAUUAAAUGUCUGAGGUAGCAUUUGAACUCAGGUCCUUUUGACUUCACGUCUGGAACUCUAUCCACCAAACCACCUAGCUGUUCCCCUAUUCUUUCCUUAGGACAUUUAAAGUGAUGGCCAUGUAAUGCUCGGAAAGAGCAGUCUCCAAAUCCUGCUCCAGACACCUAUUUGUGUGACCCAGUCAAGUCAUUUAAUCUCUCAUUGCUUCAAUUUUCUCAACUAUAAGAUAAAGUAAUAAUAAUAGUUCUAAGUGUUCCCGUCAGCAGAACACUGAGCCUAGGGUUAGGAACAGCUGAGUUCAAAUCCAGACUCAGACACUUAAAUGCUGUGUGACUUUGGGCAAGUCACUUAAUCCUGUUUGCUCCAGUUUCCUCAUCUGUAAAAUGAGCCGGAGAAGGAAAUGACAAACCACUUCAGUAUCUCUGCCAAGAAAACCCCAAAUGGGGUCAUGAAGAAUCAGACACAACUGAAAAAUGAUUUAACAACAAGUAGUAUCUUGCCUCAUAGGUUGCUGGGAAGAUCAAAAGAGAAAACAUGUCAAGUGCUAGCAAACCUGUAAGCUAUCCCGUCUCACGGGAGCAGUCCAUUCUUCUCUCUCCCUCUAGGGGGCAAAAAAUAAUAAAAAUAUUCCUUCCUCAUUCCACUUGACCUCAGAUAGUAAAAUUAACAUUUCAUUGAGUUGCAGAUGCACUAUUGUUUCAGGCUACAGUUUGCCCAAGAAGGGACAAAGGGUUUAAAACCAGGACUUGCAAUCUAAGGGUGUGGUGAUCUUAGGACAUGGGUAGGAAGCUCUGGUUUUCCAAUCUAGGCAGUCUAGGGGAGAGGGGUUGGAAGGGAUGAUUUUAAGGAGGUACUUCCAGGGAACACUCAGCCCAUCUGGGUAGAGGAGGAGGGAUGAAUGUAUCCAAUAAUGGUGAUUAAAAAAUAAUGGUGAUGUAAAAACAAAAGUUGACAAGAAAUAUAUUUUAGAAGAAUUAUAGCAUUUCAAAGUUGUUUUAAGGACUCCAAAUCAUUAAACAAUACAGUUUCUGAAUAAUUAAAAAUAAUUAUCACCCGGAUGAGAGAUGCUGGGAGUGUAAGCAGUUUGCAACAUUUUAAAUGAGCAGUUUUUAAAGAGAUCUGGAGUAAAAGAUGUCAGCAAAAUAAAAAUAUAUGAAUGGUCAUAUGUAAGACACAAAGCCUGUGUACUUUUCAGAUAAUAAGAUUACAACUAGUUUUUAGGAGCAGCUAGGGGUCCCAGUGGAUCGGAAGUCAGAAAGACUCAACUUCAUGAUUUCAAAUCUGACCUCAAACUAAUCACUGUGUGAUCCUGGUAAGUCACCUGACCCUAUUUACCUCAGUUUUCUCAUCUGUAAAAAUGAGCUGGAGGUGACUAUGGCAAGCCACUCCUGUAUCUCUGCUAAGAAAAAUCUUAGAUGGAGUCACAAAGAAUUGGACACAACUAAACAACAAAUAAAAACCAUUUAUAUAGUUUUUUAAGAUUUGCAAAACAUCUUACAAAUAAUAUCACACUUUAUCCUUAUAAUAAAUCUCAGAGGUAGGUACUAUCCUUAUUCCCACUUUACAGAUGAUGAAAUUGAGGUUAAAAUACUUACAUGUCAAGAAAGUAAAGAGAAAACAGAAUAUAGAGGUUGUAGAGAGGAAAUGCUGUCAAAUCUUGAGCCGAAAUAGGAAUUAUUCACUCAUCCAACCUCUUUGCUUGAAUCCUCCCAGUAACAGGAAGUUUUCACCUGACCAAAAAACCCAUUCUAUUGUUGGGCAACUCUGAUUUUUAGGAAAUUCUUCUAUAUGUUGAGCUUAAUAUGUGCUUCCCUAUAACUUUGUUCAACUGGUCUUAAUUCUGUCAUCUGGGGCCAAAUAGAAUAGGGCCAAUCCCUAAAUUCCCAAGGCCAAAGUGAUUAUUUGUCAUUAUGGCAUUGUGUCUUUACAAAGCCCAAGCUAUCAGGCACCCUAUUAUUUAAAAGAUGGAAAACUAUUAAUUUUUUAACUUGAAUUAUUUCAGUCUGUGGUAGGAGGGACUAGAGAAAGAAAGGGGCUAUUGUGUUUUGAUUGAAGUCUGUUAUAACAUGGAGAAACACUCAAAACUUAAAGGAGUUGUAAAUUGAUGGGUUGUCAGAGCUGUCAGGAUAGGGAAUUGUUUCUAAAAUUCUGUUAAAGGAAUACACAUUUAAAAACUCUAGGACCUCUCUCCCAAGUUGGCUACAGUGUAAUUUUAUCAGUCCUAGAAAGUCCUACAAUUAUCUAUCUGCCUCCUAACCCUCACGUCUGUUAUACUCCAGCCAAAAUCUUUGCAUUGUCUUAUUAUCCUUAGGUCUUUCAUUAAAAUAUAACAUCCUUUGUUCUCUUCAACAAUGAGGUGACUGAGGCCAAUUCCAAUGAUUUUGUGAUGAAGAGAGCCAUCUACACCCAGAGAGAAGACUGAGGGAACUGAGUGUGGAUCACACCAUAGCAUUUUCACUUUUUUUGUUGUUCUUUGCUUGCAUGUUAUUUUCUUUCUAAUUUUUUCCAGUUUAUUUUGAUUUUUUUUGGUGCAUCAAGAUAAUUCUAUAUAUAUAUAUGUAUGCAUAUAUUGGAUUUAACAUAUAUUUCUACCAUGUUUAAC